ACAUACGACCAUAGGAUCGAGAAAAUUGAGGGUCCCGUCCGCUCCCCUGUACACAAGCUCGAUACCGCCGGAUCAGUAGUUGGGUCGGUGACGACCAGCGAAUCCCCGGUGUUGUAUGUU
rfam:Microdochium bolleyi strain J235TASD1 unplaced genomic scaffold Micbo1qcscaffold_3, whole genome shotgun sequence.